rnacentral:rRNA from 1 species
UACGUAGGCAGCGAGCGUUGUUCGGAAUUACUGGGCGUAAAGAGUGUGUAGGCGGUGCUCCCAGUCUGUUGUGAAAUCUCCCGGCUUAACUGGGAGGGUGCAGCGGAAACUAGAGUGCUAGAGGGUGGGAGAGGUAAGCGGAAUUCCCGGUGUAGAGGUGAAAUUCGUAGAUAUCGGGAGGAACACCAGUGGCGAAAGCGGCUCACUGGACCAUAACUGACGCUGAUGCACGAAAGCUGGGGGAGCAAACAGG